AGUUAUUUUUCUCUUCAUAUUGUAUAAAUCUUUUGCCUUUUACUAAAGAAAUCCAUAGAGAGAACCGCCAUAAAAUGAGUAAUAUAAUUUUUUUGAGGUUUGUUUAAUUGCUGGACU